CACUGCCAAUUAAUUGUUGUGUCCAAGAAAGUUUUUUUCAGAUAUUUUCAGAAAUUUGACUUUAUUGUGUACAAAGACAUGGAAUAAUUUUGUGCUUCAGUUUAUGAAGGUUUCUGAUAGGCUUGAAGCAAAUGCAGGGUUUCUUGUAAGAUGAGGGUGAAUGCAUCAGACAAACAAAUUUGACAUAUUAGUGCCUUGCAGCCUCUCAAAGUUCUUGCAUUCAGGUUAUUCUUUUAGAAAGAAAAUUGUCAAAGGUGAUUGUCAAAGGAGAAUUUAUUCAAGGGUUUCUUUUAAUGUUGUACAUGUUUUGUUUUCAAUAAUAAAUAUUAUGCAAUAUUAGCAAUGUGUUACAUUUACUUACUAUUGGAAUGAUUAUUUGUAUAUGACAUUAAAUUUUAUGAAAUGGAUUAUAUUUUUUGUA